GCCUUGUUAGUUUAGUGGUAAAACAUUUGAUUUCCACUCAAAAGUCAUCGAUUCGAUUUCGAUACAAGGUA
rnacentral:tRNA from 1 species